AUUGUGGAACUGUCAAACGUGUAUAUCAAUACCGCCGUUAUUAAAUUCUACAGUUUAUUGAUAUUUGCUAGCAUUCUCUAAAUAAAACUUCUUAUUUCUAAGUGUAUUAAUUACUAAAACAAUCCAAAGGGCAAGGCAGUUGUAUAAAAGCCGGAAAAUAAACUUAACCUCAAAAUGUCUGAUGAUGAUGAUGUUGUGUUGGUAAAGAAGCCUAAACAAGUGCAUUAUGGGUCUCUGGAGGAGCAGGAAAAGGCCAGGCUGGCCGCCCUGGCUGCUGCAGCCAAGGAAGGGGCCGAGGACAUUGGCGGAAAGGAUUUGGGGGACAUACAAAUUUCUAGCGAAUACAUGGAGCUGGAAGAGGAGAUGUCUCGCGACAAGAAGGCUCUGCUGGAGGAGUUUGAGCGGAGACGCAAGGCUCGACAGCUCAACGUGUCCACUGAUGAUGACGAGGUGCGUCGCAGUCUCCGUCAGCUCGGCGAGCCGGUGUGUCUGUUCGGAGAGGGGCCGGCAGAGAGGCGAGUGCGGCUGCGAGAUCUCCUCAGCUAUCUAGGAGAAGACGCGAUCCACAAGAAGCUAGAAGAGGAAGAGGCUCGCAUAGAAAGGGACAGAGGACGGGAGGGAACCUGGUACCAUGAGGGACCGCCGGAACUCAGGGAGGCGAGGCUGUGGAUCGCUAGGUACUCGCUACCUAAAGCUAAACUUAGACUGUGCCAAGCCCGCGAAGACUUGAAGUUAUCAGGCAGUGUCCGCGCCGCCGCCAAACAGGAGUCACAGCGGAAGGCCGCCGCCGUCUCUAUAUACUGCAGCCAGAUAGGCGACACCCGGCCUAUAAGCUUUUGCAGAUUCAGCAGCGACAGUAAGAUGCUCAUCACAGCUAGCUGGUCAGGUCUAUCCAAAGUAUGGUCGGUCCCCGAGUGUACAGCGCUGCAAGUACUGAAGGGUCACAAAUGUAACGUCAGCGGCGCCGCCUUCCAUCCCACGGCCGCCAUGCCUGAUCAUUUUGAAAGAAAAUUAGCAGAAGAUAAAGAGAAGUUAGCAACAGACGCCGAAACUCCGAUGGAGACUGAGACUCCGGUCCCAGAGUCUAUAGAAACUACAGUAGCCAUGCAGGAGACUGACGGAGUCUCCGAAGCCUGCACAAUGGCGACCUGCGCGUACGAUGGUACCGUAUAUUUGUGGAAUUUUAAAAGUGAGUCUCCGCUAUGUUCCCUGGACGGCCACAGCCCCGCCCGCGUGGCCAGGCUGGAGUUCCACCCGUCCGGACGGUUCCUCGCCACCACUGUCUUCGACCACUCCUGGAGAUUAUGGGAUCUGGAGACUGCGACGGAGGUACUGCACCAGGAAGGUCACGCCAAGCCGGUGUACAGCAUCGCCUUCCAGGGAGACGGGUCACUCGCUGUUACAGGCGGUAUGGACGCCUUCGGUCGCGUGUGGGACCUGCGCACAGGUCGCUGCGUGAUGUUCCUGGAGGGCCACCUGGGGCCCGUGCUGGGCUCCGACUGGGCCCCCGCCGGACACCAGCUCGCCACCGCCGCCGCAGACCAUCAGACAAAGAUCUGGGAUUUGAGGAGACGUUCAGCGUUAUACACUAUACCUUCACACACGCAUCUGUUGAGUGAUGUCAGAUACCAGAAGAGCCACGGUCACUUCCUCCUAACGUCAUCGUACGACAAGACUGCCAAGCUCUGGUCCAACCCUGCCUGGCAUCCACUGCGCACACUCUCCGGACAUGACAAUAAGGUGAUGAGCGCUGACAUAUCAUACGACAACAAGUACAUAGCGACCAGCUCAUAUGACAGGACCUUCAAACUGUGGGCACCAGAUCUCGCGUAGAUAACUAAUGAUGAACUAGCUUCUGCCAGCGGCUUCACCUGCGUUCCCGUGGCAUACAAAGUAGCCUAUGUGUUAUUCCAGACCAUAAUCUAUCCUUUUUCCAAAUUGCAUCCCGAUCCCUUCAGCCGUUCAGUAAGAUAUACAAGUUUUGUAAAGAUUUCGAGUAUGACUCGACUGGUUUCGAGCUAUGUCGGAGCUUAUAAACAUGACUGAAUGAAUGGUAUUUAAAUUUAACAUGUUUAAUGACAGUUCUUAUAUAAAAAUAUGAAAUAUUGCAGACAUUAUUGAUACAAAACUUGUUAAAAUUAAUUAUAUAUGUUUACCUCAGUCUAAACGAAAAUAACUGUAUUUAAUAUCCUGAUAUUAUACACCGUGACAUCUAUGUCGUUUCCGUUCCGCGGCAAUACAACUCGCCAUAACGAGUACUUUCUAGUAUAAAGUAAAAACAAAAAUAUAAAGAUGAAAUGUAUAGAAGUACGUCCAUGAGACACUAGACGUACAUUUGUAGUCACUACUCGCAUCGCACGUGCACCCAUAGAGAAAUACAUGGCGUGAUGUUUUGAUGAUGUACUAUGAGUUCGUGCGCUCUCGAAGUUUGCUUCUUGCAAUGGUUCACCAGUUGUUUUUAUUUGUUUGUAAAACUAUUGUAUUGCCGAGACAGAACCAUUUCACUUCAGGACAAAAACGACAUAGAUUUCACGGUGUAUAGAGGUAUAAUAUACGCAUUUGUGUAUGGUAAUAUAAGUCUAAGAUAAAAAUAAAGUCGU